rnacentral:rRNA from 1 species
GACGAACGCUGGCGGCGUGCUUAACACAUGCAAGUCGAACGGAAAGGCCCUGCUUUUGUGGGGUGCUCGAGUGGCGAACGGGUGAGUAACACGUGAGUAACCUGCCCUUGACUUUGGGAUAACUUCAGGAAACUGGGGCUAAUACCGGAUAGGAGCUCCUGCUGCAUGGUGGGGGUUGGAAAGUUUCGGCGGUUGGGGAUGGACUCGCGGCUUAUCAGCUUGUUGGUGGGGUAGUGGCUUACCAAGGGUUUGACGGGUAGCCGGCCUGGGAGGGUGACCGGGCGGAAUGGGGCUUAGAUGAGGGCGCGGGCGCGAAGGGGAGGAAGAGGGGGGAAGAGUGACAAAGGGGGGGGGGGGCGGGGAAGAAAGGCCGUGGGGCGGAAGAAGGGGGUAGGGGUGUAAAACGAUGUAGGACUGGAAGAAGGCGUGCGUGACGGUAGUGGGUAAAGAAGCACCGGCUAACUACGUG